CAGUAGCCGCGGUAAAACGAGAGGUGCAAGCGUUAUUCGGAAUUAUUGGGCGUAAAGGGUGCGUAGACGGUGUGCUAAGUCUGUUGUUAAAUCUUUCGGCUUAACCGAAAAUCUGCAAUGGAAACUGGCAUGCUAGAGUGUGAAAGAGAGAAGUGGAAUUCUUGGAGUAGCGGUAAAAUGCGUAGAUCUCAAGAGGAACACCGAUGGCGAAGGCAGCUUCUUGGUUCACUACUGACGUUGAGGCACGAAAGCGUGGGGAGCAAACAGGAUUAGAUACCCCUGUAGUCCCUGUCUCUUAUAU
rnacentral:rRNA from 1 species